GACGAACGCUGGCGGCGUGCUUAACACAUGCAAGUCGAACGCUGAAGACCUGGCUUUUGUUGGGUUGGAUGAGUGGCGAACGGGUGAGUAACACGUGAGUAACCUGCCCUCUUCUUUGGGAUAACGCCCGGAAACGGGUGCUAAUACUGGAUAUUCACUGAUCUUCGCAUGGGGGUUGGUGGAAAGGUUUGUUCUGGUGGGGGAUGGGCUCGCGGCCUAUCAGCUUGUUGGUGGGGUGAUGGCCUACCAAGGCUUUGACGGGUAGCCGGCCUGAGAGGGUGACCGGUCACAUUGGGACUGAGAUACGGCCCAGACUCCUACGGGAGGCAGCAGUGGGGAAUAUUGCACAAUGGGCGAAAGCCUGAUGCAGCGGCGCCGCGUGAGGGAUGGAGGCCUUCGGGGUGUAAACCUCUUUCGCUCAUGGUCAAGCCGCAACUGUGGGUUGUGGUGAGGGUAGUGGGUAAAGAAGCGCCGGCUAACUACGUG
rnacentral:rRNA from 1 species